UACUGUCUACUGUGGUCACAUUGACACUGCCU
rnacentral:piRNA from 1 species